rnacentral:rRNA from 1 species
ACACGACUACAUUAGAUACCCGUGUAGUCCCAGCCCUAAACGAUGCGCGUUAGGUGUAUCGGUGACCACGAGUCACCGAGGUGCCGAAAGGGAACCGUGAAACGUGCCGCCUGGGAAGUACGGUCGCAAGGCUGAAACUUAAAGGAAUUGGCGGGGAGCACCACAACGGGUGGAGUCUGCGGUUUAAUUGGACUCAACGCCGGGAAGCUCACCGGAUAAGGCAGCGGAAUGAUUGCCGGGCUGAAGACCCUGCAUGACCAGCUG